rnacentral:tRNA from 1 species
UCCCUGGUGGUCCAUGGUUAAGACUCUGCACUUCCAAUGCAGAGGGCAGAGGUUCGAUCCCUGGCUGGGGAA